AUCCUCCAAAUCACAGCUCACCCAGAAAACAGGACCCCUUCUGCUAGUGACGGGACAGCAGUUCAGGAAGAGUCCACUGCUAGCUAUUUCUAAAGAAGACUUUAAUAUCCUGGUGUGGCCCACAUCCCAAAACCACAGGAUAAACAAGGAGUGUCUUCCUGAACCAUUGGUUCUGCUUAGUGCCAACACUUACUGAGAGCUGACUAUGGAGCCGGCCCCUUUACACACAGUUUCUCACUGAAGCCUCAGAACAACCCUGCAGUGUAGGAUGUGGACAUCAUGGCCUCAGGCUCCGAAAGACUCAAAGAGCUAAGU
rnacentral:lncRNA from 1 species